CCUCCCUCCGGCCUCGUCUAAAAAUCCCGGUCGCUCUCGCUGUCCUCAAGCUCCAGCUCCCCCUUCAUCCCCCUCGCCUCGGCGGCCGGGCCCCCAAAACCCUAACCCUAGCCUGCCCCCCUGCCCGAGCUCCGGCGCCGAGCGUCCGCGCUGGGGACAUGGACGGCGGCGGCACGCCCCGCACGCCGGAGGACGUGUUCCGGGACUUCCGCGCGCGCCGGGCCGGCAUGAUCAAGGCGCUCACCACCGACGUGGAGAAGUUCUACCAGCAGUGCGACCCAGAGAAAGAGAAUCUGUGUUUGUAUGGCCUUCCCAAUGAAACAUGGGAAGUGAACUUGCCUGCAGAAGAGGUUCCUCCUGAACUUCCAGAGCCAGCUCUAGGAAUUAAUUUUGCACGUGAUGGAAUGGAUGAAAAAGAUUGGUUGUCACUUGUUGCCGUGCAUAGUGAUGCUUGGCUGCUGGCUGUGGCAUUUUACUUUGGAGCAAGAUUUGGGUUUGACAAAGAAUCCAGUCAAGAGUAUGCACAUAUCUGGGGCAUCUCAAACUUCCUUCUACUCAUUGCUCAGUCAGGAAGCGUCUCUUUGUCAUGAUUAAUAACCUCCCUACCAUAUAUGAGGUUGUCACAGGAACUGCGAAGAAGCAAACCAAAGAAAAAACUCCGAAAAGCAGCAGCAAGAGCAAUAAAUCUGGCACAAAACCACCACGCCAGCCAGAACCCAACUCAAGGGGUUCCAAGAUGCCACCUCCAAAGGAUGAGGAUGACAGCGGAGGCGAGGAAGAUGAGGAAGAGGAAGAUCAUGAAAACACAUUGUGUGGUUCAUGUGGUGACAACUACGGACAGGACGAGUUCUGGAUAUGCUGCGAUGCCUGUGAGACAUGGUUCCAUGGCAAAUGUGUCAAGAUCACUCCUGCCAAAGCCGAGCACAUCAAGCACUACAAGUGUCCGAACUGCAGCGGUAGUGGCAAGAGAGCCCGAGCAUGAUCCUUGGUGGGUAUAUCCAUCGCUCUUGCCUGUAGAACCAGGAGGUUAACUCGCUGUAAAACAUCCGCAAGGGACCAACUGCCCCAUGGUUGCGCAUUCAGUCGUUGCUUUCAGUGUAGGACCAGCUGUAGGGUCUUGAUGUGCUGUUUGUUGUAUGUCGAAGACAUUCUAGAUCUUCUGUUGUUAGUAACUAGCAACUAACUGUAGUAGCCUGUAUUUCUUCAAGCUUCUCCGAUCCCAGUGUGCCUGUAUUGGAUUUGGGAAUAGCUUUAGAUCUCAGUUGUGCAUUAUGUAUCACCAUGUACUCGUGUUAAUUCGUUAAAAGGUUGUGUGCUUCUAUUUCUCA